CGCGCCUCUCCCUCCCCACCUCCCUGCAAGCAGACGGAGCCGGUUCCGACCUCAGCCAGCCCAGAGAGAGGCUCCCAUAGUGCAGCGGCGGGCUGAAGGGCUCGUCAAGCAUGGCCAGAGUGGGCACCGAGGCCGAGGAGGCGCCGAGAGCGAGGGAGGGCAGCCAGCACGCUGUCACCUCUCACUGGGACACAGUUCAGAGCCUAGCCCUGUGGUAACACUUCUUGAUAACAAAGAACAGAAUCAUAGGAGAGAGGAGCACCAGGGGUUGACAGAAGCAGCCUUUGAAUCAGGAAGCAUCAGGACUACAAGUGGGAGGGCAGAAUCCACCUCCCUCAAUAUGCUGAAGCAGAGAAAACUCCAGAGAACGGCCAGGGCAUCCUGGGAUUACAAGCAGCAGAGGGCAGUGUAGAUGCAAAGGAGGAACCAGUGGAGGAAAUGUCUCUCUUCCUAUGGAUGCCCAGCCUCUGCCCUUGUCUUCUGGACCCCACCUCCUUUCUACCACACAAGUUGGCAUGAUGACAACGUAUUUGGCCCUGGCAAUAGAUUAUGGCUGGUACAAACCAGUUCUCAGGAUAUCUUACAACUAGAGGCAGCCUUAAGACCCUGUUUUGUCGAGAAUACCUACUUGGAAGUCUAGUCAAAAGGUAUUUAUUAAGGUUUUUGCUUUCCUGGUUAAAGGAGAUGGUUGUAGCUACCCAUCCUUUCUUGUUCUUCACCCUUCUUUUUGCCUUGAAUGGAGUCAGGGUAGUUGGGACUGCAAAAGUCAUUUUGUGACUAGAGAGAUCACCUUAACCUCACUGAGCUUCUGAGUCAAGUCAAUAACUGUGUAUCUCCAGACUUUUUAUUGUAUGAAGGGAAAAAGAGUUCUAUUUAUUUAUGCAACUAAUGACUUUUACUUGACUUGAAGGCAUUCCUGAACAUAAACACUGCUACUUUUGCAACUGCUUUUGAGACAUAUUUAUAGAGUUCAUCAAAA
rnacentral:lncRNA from 1 species